rnacentral:rRNA from 1 species
UACGAAGGGCCCAAGCGUUAUCCGGAUUUAUUGGGUUUAAAGGGUGCGUAGGCGGUCUAUUAAGUCAGUGGUGAAAGCCCCAAGCUUAACUUGGGAACUGCCAUUGAUACUGAUGGUCUUGAGUACAUUUGAGGUGGGCGGAAUGUGUCAUGUAGCGGUGAAAUGCUUAGAUAUGACACAGAACACCGAUUGCGAAGGCAGCUCACUAAACUGUAACUGACACUGAGGCACGAAAGUGUGGGUAGCAAACAGG